GAGGCUCAGCCGCUCGCGGUGGAGAAAGCAGGCCGCGGAGGAGGCGGGCGCCCAGGCCUGCCCGGACAGGAAGUGGGCCCAGCUUUCCCACUCCUCGCUCCGCUCCUUCCUCCGCGGGAAGGGCAGGCCCCGGAGGCAGCGAGCGCCCCGGGGGUGGCCGGGCAGCCGGAUGCUCCCGGGGUUGCGGGCUGUGGCCCCGGGGGCUGAGGGCGGCGCGGGUGCGGCGGAAGCAGGGAAGCCGCGAACCGGCCUUCUGGCUGGCCACAGCGCCCUGCACGGACGAUCAGUGAAUGGAGAUUACUCAAGUAUUUAUCGAGAACUUGCAGUGGGCUAGGCACAGUUCAGGAAAUGACAAAGUAAUGCCUAGAUUGGACUAAACCUCAUUUAACUUCAAGGCUGACCUUUCUCAAAGUUGAACCUUCGUCUUGUGAGGAACAGAAAGAUCAAGAACUCUGAAGCACCUCGACUUUCCACCUGUGAAGAUGUGUUCAAAUUUGCAACGUGCGGCCACACCUAUGAGGUCACUCCCUCUGGAGGAAACCAGCUGCCACUUUGUGAGGAUACUCAUAGUCCUGUGGAGGCAUAUCCUCCAUAUGGCUGAGACCUCCUGCGAACAACCAUCACUGACUUGCCAGACAUGAGUGUGCCACCUUGGAAGCAGAUUUUCCAGCCCCAGUUAAGCCUUCAGAUGACAUCAGCCCCUGCUAAUCUCUUGACUACAACCUCAUGAGAGACCCUGAGCCAGAACUAGCCAGGCUUACCCCUCAUGGUUACAAAGUGGCUGCAACAGCUCCAGGUGUUCUAUCCUUUAACACAGAAUAACUCAAACAACAAGACCCAAUAUUCAGACAAGAAGGAAAGGGACUUUUGGAGAGUGAAGAAAACUUUCCUAGAAACCUCAAACUUCUCCCCAUGCCUUAUUGGCCAGAUUGUAUCCCAUGCCCAUUUCUAAACCAAUCAUUGGCAAAGUGAGUGGAAUUGACGUGAUUAGAUUAACUUUACCAAGAAUGCAUCCUCAGAGAGGCUGAGAAAAAGUCCAGCCUCCUUUGAAGAGCCUGGCUACCUUUCACCUGAACAAAACAAGAAUUCUGAUGAAAAAUGGAGAAUGUAUGUGGAGCAGGCACCCGGAGUGUCUAUGCCAGGAUUUUUUUUCAGUGCGUUUCACCGGUUAUAUUUUUGUCUCUUUACCUUACAAGAUAUGUGGCACGUUUGCCUAAAACAAGCCUUGCUUUCUGAUUUCUGUGCACUAGGCACUUAAACCUUGCAAAUGUCGCUUACCUAACAGUCACUGUCAAGGAGUACCUGGCUAAAGAAUCUCCAGCUAGACAAAGUAGAAGUGUCUGUGCUCUGGCAGUUGAAUAUAUUGUAUCAGGCUCAACAGCACCUUUCACCAAAGGAUGAGACUUCACAACCAUUAGAUCUUCUUUUAUUUUGUUUUUAUUAAAAAAAAAAAUUUUAACACACCAUUGCUAACUUGAAGCCAUUAGAUCUUCUUACCCCCAAUACCACAAAAGUUUAGUGGAAUCAGGGGUAUACCAAGGCAGGUGGAGUAGGGGAGCUGGGAGUGGUCAGCCCCCAGGGCAGGCAAUGAGGGAUUGUGAAUCUGUGAAGAAUUUUAAAGCAAUGAUACAGCUCUAAAUGCAAUGUACUAUCCUGGACUUAGCCCUGGAAAAGAAAAAAGAUAUUAGUGGAAAAACUGGUAAAAUUCAAAUAAUGUCUGUAGUUUGGUUAAUAGUAUUAUACCAAUGUUAAUUUCUGUGUUUUGAUAAAUGUACCAUGGUUAUGUAAGCUGGAUGAAAGAUAUGUGGGAAAUCUCUCUACUAUUUCUGCAACUCUCCUGUAAACCUAAAAAUGUUUCAAAAUAAAA
ensembl:lncRNA TRAM2-AS1 TRAM2 antisense RNA 1 (head to head)